rnacentral:lncRNA from 1 species
UUAGCGGCGUUCUACUAGCCAGCUAACAUUACACGAACUUGGCUUGCAGGUUGCCUUGUAGAGGCUAGUUAGCUGAUCUUGCUAACGUGCUAGCCCCUGUUAGUUAGAUGCAAACACUGAUUGCUGCUGCUGGUGGGAAACCAAGAAGCGAAAGAAGGAGCCUUUAACCUCAUUGGACCCUGUGUAGCUUUAGCUUCAAGCUCCAGAGGAUAUCUCGCUUUGGAUACACGACCUGUGGGAAUCACCGGAGAGGCCUGUUGUCUUUGUUCAUCCCAACACUUCUGAGCCUCCCACCUUCCACCUUCACUGCCCCUGGCUCAGUCGGUGGCUCAGCAUCACUUCAAAGAGGAAGGUCUGCGGAGCUGCAGAUAACACUCUGUUCCCCCAAGCACCAGCAGGCUUUUCCAGAGCCCCUACGCAGUCCCUCGACUGACAGAAAGAAUCAACCCUUAGAGCGGGACCUGGAGUGGAGAAGACCAAUUGUGGCCGGAACAAAGACAGACAGAGAGAACUGUAAGUAAAGACUGCAGCCUGUGAACUUCUCAGGGGUCAGCAAGUUUUUGUGUGCAUGUAACUGUGCUCAAUGCAGUGCUUAUCGCAUAGGAUUACACACAGGAAUGGUGAGGUUUGUGGUUGUUUGGAGUGGUUGAGAGUAACCAUGUGGCUUUUGUAGAUGACAAAGACGCUGCCUGAAUUGCUCCUUUUGUGUGUCAGAGUGUGCUGGGAUCAAAAUACUGCACAGCAGGUGGCCAAAGAUAAUGAAGAAAUCUCUGCAUUUGUUAGUCACCUUGCAAUUGUAUUAGUAUUCUAUGUAUCCCUCUUUGUCUGCGAG